UGGUUUUGUCUGAAGUCAAACUUUCUUAAGUUUGACCAAAUUUAUAUAAAAGAUUAUCAUUUUAUGAUACCAAAUAAACAUACUAUAAAAAUAUAUUUCAUUAUGAAUCUAAUGAUACUUAUUUGGUUUUAUAAAAAUAGUAAUUUUUUAUAUAAAUUUGGUCAAACUUAAAAAAGUUUGACUUCAGACAAAAUCAA
rnacentral:pre_miRNA from 1 species